rnacentral:lncRNA from 1 species
UUAACCACCCACUACAUGCUAGAUCCUCUGCUAAGAACUGGGGAUUCAAAGGAAGGCAAAAACUGUUCCUGAAUCAACAAGGGUUCACAUUCUUAUUGGGGAGACACCAUGUACAAACAAGUGCAUUAAAUUGGAAAUAAUAGGAGACACUAAAAUAAAUGAGAACUGAGAAAGACUUAGCUGAAACUUGAUGGAAGCCAGUGAAAGCAAGAUGUGGAGAUAAAGAGGGAGAGAAUUGAAGUCAAUGGCAAUGCUCAUGGAAAUGGAGUGUGGUGUGCAAGAAGCAUUAAGGAGUGUUUUGUCAUAGAUCUUCCUUUCAUGGAGCCAAGAUGUGACUUCCUGGAAUCCCCACCCAUUUCAUCAAGUUUUAAACCUGGAGCCAAGUGGUCCAGGAAGAGCCCCUGAUACCUUAGUUUGCAAAUGAUACUUCUCCUCACAGCCUCUCCUCCCUUGGGGCCAGAAAUGGUACUGUUCCUCAGGAUCUCUGAUCCCUUGGGGCC